UGACUUUUAAGCCUGCAAUCUACUGAAGU
rnacentral:piRNA from 1 species